UCUAAGUAUAAGCAAUUAUACAGCGAAACUGCGAAUGGCUCAUUAUAUAAGUUAUCGUUUAUUUGAUAGUACCUUACUACUUGGAUAACCGUGGUAAUUCUAGAGCUAAUACAUGCUAAAAAUCCCGACUUCGGAAGGGAUGUAUUUAUUAGAUUAAAAACCAAUGCCCUCUGGGCUCUCUGGUGAUUCAUGAUAACUUCUCGAAUCGCAUGGCCUUGCGCCGGCGAUGGUUCAUUCAAAUUUCUUCCCUAUCAACUUUCGAUGUUUGGGUAGUGGCCAAACAUGGUUGCAACGGGUAACGGAGGGUUAGGGCUCGACCCCGGAGAAGGAGCCUGAGAAACGGCUACUACAUCCAAGGAAGGCAGCAGGCGCGCAAAUUACCCAAUCCCGACACGGGGAGGUAGUGACAAUAAAUACUGAUACAGGGCUCUUUUGGGUCUUGUAAUUGGAAUGAGUACAAUUUAAAUCCCUUAACGAGGAACAAUUGGAGGGCAAGUCUGGUGCCAGCAGCCGCGGUAAUUCCAGCUCCAAUAGCGUAUAUUAAAGUUGUUGUGGUUAAAAAGCUCGUAGUUGAACCUUGGGCCUGGCUGGCCGGUCCGCCUCACCGCGUGUACUGGUCCGGCCGGGCCUUUCCCUCUGUGGAACCCCAUGCCCUUCACUGGGUGUGGCGGGGAAACAGGACUUUUACUUUGAAAAAAUUAGAGUGCUCCAGGCAGGCCUAUGCUCGAAUACAUUAGCAUGGAAUAAUGAAAUAGGACGUGCGGUUCUAUUUUGUUGGUUUCUAGGACCGCCGUAAUGAUUAAUAGGGACAGUCGGGGGCAUCAGUAUUCAAUUGUCAGAGGUGAAAUUCUUGGAUUUAUUGAAGACUAACUACUGCGAAAGCAUUUGCCAAGGAUGUUUUCAUUAAUCAGGAACGAAAGUUAGGGGAUCGAAGACGAUCAGAUACCGUCGUAGUCUUAACCAUAAACUAUGCCGACUAGGGAUCGGACGAUGUUAUUUUUUGACUCGUUCGGCACCUUACGAGAAAUCAAAGUGC
rnacentral:rRNA from 1 species